UGCAUAUUGUUGGCUUAGCCCAAAUGUGU
rnacentral:piRNA from 1 species